GUGCGUGUAUCCAAAAGCGGUGUCCAUCACGAAGAAGCGGGAUCAGCUCCGAUCUACGCUACCGGUCGCCGGACCGAAGCGAGAGCGGUGGAGUACGCCAUCGCGUACUCUCACUGACCAUCACUGUCCCCUCCAAAAACCCUAACCCUGAUCCUCGAAGCGAUUGAUCUCUACCUCCUCUCCUCUUCCUCUUUUCUCUCUCUCGCCAUGGCGACAUCCGAGAACUCUUCUCCCCAUUUCUUCCUCCCCGGCUUCCUCUACUCCUCCUCCCCUAUCCGAUCCCUCGCCCCGGAACGCCUCCUGAGUCGAAAUCCUAGCUCGCCGGCACCUCCUCCUCCUUCUCCGGCGGUGGAUACUCCGCCGAGGCCGGACCCUUUCCUUGCCCAGGCCCCGAGCGAGCCCGGCAAGAUCGAGCUGUACUCGCCGCUCUACUACGCCGCCUGCACCGCCGGCGGGAUCGCCAGCUGUGGCCUCACCCACAUGGCUGUCACCCCGCUCGACCUCGUCAAAUGCAACAUGCAGAUCGACCCUUUCAAGUAUAAGAGCAUCACAUCAGGAUUUGGUGUCCUGCUGAGAGAGCAGGGGCUCAGAGGCUUCUUCAAGGGUUGGGUGCCAACUCUACUUGGGUAUAGCGCUCAAGGUGCAUGCAAGUUUGGGUUUUAUGAGUUCUUCAAGAAGUAUUAUUCAGACAUUGCUGGGCCAGAAUAUGCAGUCAAGUAUAAGACCCUAAUCUACCUUGCGGGGUCUGCUUCUGCUGAGGUGAUUGCCGAUGUAGCUCUUUGCCCCAUGGAAGCUGUAAAGGUGCGAGUCCAGACUCAGCCAGGGUUUGCUAGGGGUUUGCUUGAUGGAUUUCCAAAGUUUGUCAAGUCUGAAGGUGCUUUGGGAUUGUACAAAGGACUGGUUCCACUUUGGGGUCGUCAGAUUCCUUAUACGAUGAUGAAAUUUGCUUCCUUUGAGACGAUUGUUGAAUUGAUCUACAAACAUGUCAUUCCCACACCAAAAGAUCAAUGUACCAAACCGCUCCAGCUGGGAGUGAGCUUUGCAGGUGGCUACAUUGCUGGGGUCUUCUGCGCUGUUGUGUCUCAUCCGGCUGACAACCUUGUGUCUUUCCUUAAUAAUGCCAAAGGAGCCACUGUUGGUGAUUCCUGUGUAUGUUAUUUUUACAUGGUCAGGCUGUCAAAAAGCUUGGGUUGUGGGGUCUUUUUACUCGUGGCCUUCCUCUUCGGAUUGUUAUGAUUGGUACUCUGACUGGAGCACAAUGGGGAAUCUAUGAUGCUUUUAAAGUAUUUGCUGGCCUGCCAACAACUGGUGGAAUUGUUCCUGCGGCUCCCUCUGAGCAUUCAAAAGAAAGCUGAACAAAUUGGGGGGAUGAUUUUGAUGUUAACCCCUCUGACUAAAGUAGACCAGAUGUAUUAUAGGUGAAACUAGAGAUGAUAGGAAAGAAUUAAGAAUAAUGUUUAUAGUUAGAAAAGCUGCCUAUGUUUGUAUAUCGACUGAUGCAACUGAACCAGCAGAAGGCGAGUUAAAAUCAUUGUCUCUAUCUUCUAAA